GAUGAACGCUGGCGGCGUGCUUAAUACAUGCAAGUCGAACGGAGAAUGUAGCAAUACGUUCUUAGUGGCGAACGGGUGAGUAACGCGUUGGUGACCUGCCUCGAAGAGAGGGAUAACAGUCCGAAAGGAUUGCUAAUACCUCAUGUGAUUGUAGGGUUUAGAAGCUUACAAUUAAAGGAGUAAUUCACUUCGAGAGGGACCUGCGUACCAUCAGCUAGUUGGUGAGGUAAUGGCCCACCAAGGCGAUGACGGUUAGGGGACCUGAGAGGGUGGCCCCCCACAAUGGAACUGAAACACGGUCCAUACACCUACGGGAGGCAG
rnacentral:rRNA from 1 species